rnacentral:tRNA from 1 species
UCCCUGGCGGUCCAGUGGUUAGGGCUCAGCGCUUGCACUGCUGGGGCCCGGGUUAGAUUCCUGGCCAGGGAA